rnacentral:rRNA from 1 species
UACGUAGGGUGCGAGCGUUGUCCGGAAUUAUUGGGCGUAAAGAGCUCGUAGGCGGUUUGUCGCGUCGACUGUGAAAACCCGAGGCUUAACCUCGGGCCUGCAGUCGAUACGGGCAGACUAGAGUUCGGUAGGGGAGACUGGAAUUCCUGGUGUAGCGGUGAAAUGCGCAGAUAUCAGGAGGAACACCGGUGGCGAAGGCGACGUCCUGGACCGGCAUUGACGCUGAGGCGCGAAAGCCAGGGGAGCAAACGGG